AUUGAACGCUGGCGGCAUGCCUUACACAUGCAAGUCGAACGGCAGCACGGGAGCUUGCUCCUGGUGGCGAGUGGCGAACGGGUGAGUAAAGCAUCGGAACGUGCCCUGGAUGGGGGAUAACGUAGCGAAAGUUACGCUAAUACCGCAUAUUCUGUGAGCAGGAAAGCAGGGGAUCGCAAGACCUUGCGCUCUGGGAGCGGCCGAUGUCGGAUUAGCUAGUUGGUGGGGUAAAAGCCUACCAAGGCGACGAUCCGUAGCGGGUCUGAGAGGAUGAUCCGCCACACUGGGACUGAGACACGGGCCCAGACUCCUACGGGAGGCAGCAGUGGGGAAUUUUGGACAAUGGGCGAAGCCUGAUCCAGCCAUGCCGCGUGAGUGAA
rnacentral:rRNA from 1 species